AACGAACGCUGGCGGCAUGCCUAUCACAUGCAAGUCGAACGAGACCUUCGGGUCUAGUGGCGCACGGGUGCGUAACGCGUGGGAACCUGCCCUUAGGUUCGGAAUAACUCCCCGAAAGGGGUGUUAAUACCGGAUAAUGUCUUCGGACCAAAGAUUUAUCGCCUUUGGAUGGGCCCGCGUUGGAUUAGCUAGUUGGUAGGGUAAAAGCCUACCAAGGCGACGAUCCAUAGCUGGUCUGAGAGGAUGAUCAGCCACACUGGGACUGAGACACGGCCCAGACUCCUACGGGAGGCAGCAGUGGGGAAUAUUGGACAAUGGGCGAAAGCCUGAUCCAGCAAUGCCGCGUGAGUGAUGAAGGCCUUAGGGUUGUAAAGCUCUUUUACCCGGGAUGAUAAUGACAGUACCGGGAGAAUAAGCUCCGGCUAACUCCGUG
rnacentral:rRNA from 1 species